GCGGCGCGCCUAACACAUGCAAGUCGCACGAGAAAGGGAGCAAUCCCCGGUACAGUGGCGCACGGGUGAGUAACACGUAGAUGACCUUCCCUGGAGUGGUGGAUAACCUGCCGAAAGGCGGGCUAAUACAGCAUGGGACCACAUGGUUUUGACCGAGUGGUGAAAGCGGGCCUCUGUUCACAAGCUCGCGCUCUGGGAUGGGUCUGCGUCCCAUCAGCUAGUGGUGAGGUAAUGGCUCACCAAGGCAUCGACGGGUAGCUGGUCUGAGAGGAUGACCAGCCACACUGGAACUGAGACACGGUCCAGACUCCUACGGGAGGCAGCAGUGGGGAAUCUUGCGCAAUGGGCGAAAGCCUGACGCAGCGACGCCGCGUGGGUGAUGAAGGCCUUCGGGUUGUAAAGCCCUGUGGGGAGGAACGAACCGUACGGGGGCGAACACCCUCCGUACCUGACGGUACCUCCUUAGCAAGCAUCGGCUAACUCUGUG
rnacentral:rRNA from 1 species